rnacentral:miRNA from 1 species
CAAGAGCCCGGUAAGCAUUCAAG